rnacentral:misc_RNA from 1 species
UCCUACUUAACAUAGGCAGUCUCCUUAGAGUUCCCGGCAUUAUCCGCUGGCAACUAAGGACAAGGGUUUCGCUCGUUAUGGGACUUAACCCGACAUCUCACGACACGAGCUGACGACAGCCAUGCAACACCUGUGUAUGCUCCGCCCUUGCGGGUGUCUCUUGGCUUUCACCAAAAUAAUUCAUACAAGUCAAGACCGGGUAAGGUUCUUCGCGUUGCGUCGAAUUAAACCACAUACUCCACCGCUUGUGUGAGCCCCCGUCAAUUCCUUUGAGUUUUAGUCUUGCGACCAUACUCCCCAGGCGGGGUACUUAACGUAUUAACUCCGAAUGGGACACAAAAGCACCCCAUCCUAGUACCCAUCGUUUACAGCUAGGACUAC